GUUGGGUGUGCUUUUCCUAAUAUAUCUUGAUGGAUGAUCAGGAAAAAAAAGCUGGUGUGUCCAACAGCUUGAUAAUUUCAGGAUCAAAACAGAUUUUAUAUGUUGAUUUUCUUUCACUUGCUGAUGCAUUUUUUUAACCAAGCCGCUGGUGCAUAAGAUCUAGCCGGCAGCACACAGAACACAUUAGGAGAACAAAGGGAAUGUGAGAUUAAACCAAAAAGAGGCAAGAGCAGCAUUUCCUCACUGUUCUGCAUGAAGGCAGGAGCUGCUCCAAGACGAUGCAAACUCAGUUUUCUUAUUGGACUUAUGGCCUCUUCCCCUGUCAGAUUAUUCAAAGGCAAGUUUCCUAUCACCUCUCCUGAAGAUGCACCUUUGCCGGGGCGUAAGGAAGCCUCCAACGCCUUGACUCACCACAAAGUCUCCUCAACAAAAAGAACGCUGUGCACAUUGGAGUGGCUCCAGACUGCCUUCUUAAGAAGACUGACCCGUGACACAUGGCAUCAUUAA
rnacentral:lncRNA from 1 species